rnacentral:rRNA from 1 species
ACUGGCAGCGUGGAUUAGGCAUGCAAGUCGAACGGGAUCGCCUGGAUAGCAAUAUCGGGGGUGAGAGUGGCGGAUUGGGGAGGAGCACGUGAGCAACCUGCCCUGGAGAUGUGGAAAACCUCUGGAAACGGAGGCUAAUACAGAAUGUGGCGCCCCAUGGCAUCAUGGGAGCGCCGAAGGGGGCCGCAAGGCUCCCGCUCCGGGAUGGGCUCGCGCACCAUCAGCUAGUUGGCGGGGUAACGGCCCACCAAGGCCUACGGUUAGCUGGUCUGAGAGGAUGACCCAGCCCCACUGGGACUGAGAUACUGCCCAGACUCCUACGGGAGGCUGCAGUCGAGGAUCAUUCGCAAUGGACGGAAGUCUGACGAUGCGACGCUGCGUGGAGGAAUGAAGGCCUUCGGGUCGUAAACUCCUGUCAUGAGGGAAGAGGCGAGGGAAGCUAAUACCUUCUUUAGUUGACUGUACCUCAAGAGGAAGCGACGGCUAACUCUGUGCCAGCCGCCGC